rnacentral:tRNA from 1 species
GCCUGGGUGGCUCAGUCGGUUGAGCGUCUGACUUCGGUUCAGGUCACUAUCUCGCGGUUCGAGCCCCGCGUCGGGCU